rnacentral:lncRNA from 1 species
AGAUCUCUCCACAUCACAUGCACUCCCAACUCUAGAUCUCUCCACAUCACAUGCACUCCCAACUCUAGAUCUCUCCACAUCACAUGCACUCCCAACUCUAGAUCUCUCCACAUCACAUGCACUCCCAACUCCACAUCACAUGCACUCCCAACUCCACAUCACAUGCACUCCCAACUCCACAUCACAUGCACUCCCAACUCUAGAUCUCUCCACAUCACAUGCACUCCCAACUCUAGAUCUCUCCACAUCACAUGCACUCCCAACUCUAGAUCUCUCCACAUCACAUGCACUCCCAACUCUAGAUCUCUCCACAUCACAUGCACUCCCAACUCUAGAUCUCUCCACAUCACAUGCACUCCCAACUCUAGAUCUCUCAGCAUCACAUGCACUCCCAACUCUAGAUCUCUCAGCAUCACAUGCACUCCCAACUCUAGAUCUCUCCACAUCACAUGCACUCCCAACUCCAGAUCUCUCCACAUCACAUGCACUCCCAACUCUAGAUCUCUCCACAUCACAUGCACUCCCAACUCUAGAUCUCUCCACAUCACAUGCACUCCCAACUCUAGAUCUCUCCACAUCACAUGAUCUCUCCACAUCACAUGCACUCCCAACUCUAGAUCUCUCCACAUCACAUGCACUCCCAACUCUAGAUCUCUCCACAUCACAUGCACUCCCAACUCUAGAUCUCUCCACAUCACAUGCACUCCCAACUCUAGAUCUCUCAGCAUCACAUGCACUCCCAACUCUAGAUCUCUCCACAUCACAUGCACUCCCAACUCUAGAUCUCUCCACAUCACAUGCACUCCCAACUCUAGAUCUCUCCACAUCACAUGCACUCCCAACUCUAGAUCUCUCCACAUCACAUGCACUCCCAACUCUAGCCCACCACCAUCUACUCUAAUCAGAGAUCACACUUCUCUAUGGCAUGCCACAGGUACCCAGGGUAAGGGAAGGGGGAGGGUAAGGGACAGGUUUCGGGGAGAUGGCCACAACUAACAA